UACAGAGGUGGCAAGCGUUGUUCGGAAUUACUGGGCGUAAAGCGCGCGUAGGCGGCUCUUCAAGUCAGGCGUGAAAGCCCCGGGCUCAACCCGGGAACGGCGCUUGAUACUGUCGAGCUAGAGUGUGGAAGGGGCAAUCGGAAUUCCGUGUGUAGCGGUGAAAUGCGUAGAUAUACGGAGGAACACCAGAGGCGAAGGCGGAUUGCUGGGCCAACACUGACGCUGAUGUGCGAAAGCCAGGGUAGCAAACGGG
rnacentral:rRNA from 1 species